rnacentral:sRNA from 1 species
UUUUUCAAAACUGAACCACAAAAUCUAAACCGAAAUCAAGUGCUGUGUGGUUUGCUUGCUCCCAUAAAGGGUAUUUUGAUCUGAAAACAACUGAAAAGACAAACGAUGAAAACCAUAUCUCAUUUUGACAAACCAUGAGAGCAAUUCUUUUUUCAUCCACUUAUGUGAAAAUUUCUUUUUCCAUAAAGCCACUAAGGAAAUGGCAAAUUUACUUCGU